GAGCAGUAGUGCAAAUUCUUCCAGCAUUCACACAAUUAGAUAUUUUCUCAAAAUUGAUCAGCCUGAGGUGAAACUCCAGCACAUGUAGAUUGGAUGUACAAACACUGACUCUGAUAGUCAGACUAUUGUAGAGACUAUUGUAGUAGGAGAGGCCACAGGUAUCUCAUUAAGACAGAACUUCACACCGCUCCACCUCUUGUCAGUCAACUCAGGGCUGAUUUAAAACUAUUAUGGUGGACAGAGAAGAACAGCACUACAAACAAGUAUAUUAAUUGUUUCAUUUAGUGUCAGUGUGAACUUUUUUUUAUCAUUAUGGACGUUUUGUGUCUGUAUUAAGUUCAUUACUCAAUCACACAUAGUACACAUUGGCAUCCAGUCCUGAUCAUCAAACAAGUUCUGAUGGCACCACUAAGAGUUCACAGCAUCCUGACAUUGUACGUUAUCCUUUUUUCGUAGCUCUUUGCGUUAUACUCUCUUACAAUGUACGUUGCUGGACACUGACCUCUAAGUGGACUCCAGAAAGUAGUAGAAACAGAACUAAGAGAUGAAUAAACAUGUAGCGGUGGUGUAUAGAAUCACACAGGCCAAAACAACAGCAGACAUUCUGCACCUCAAUGGAAAUUUCAAAAGAGAACAUGCAAGCUGUAGUAUUGUAAACUGGGAUUUAAACUUAGCAUGUUUCCUUAAUUUCUGAUAACGUGAUGGUCAUUUUAUGAUUUAGUACAGUAAAUAUAUUAUAUAUUUCUCCUUUAACUAGAAAAUGAGCUCAGACUUCCACCAAGGAGCAGCUCACUUAUGAGUGAUGGUUCAAAUCUAUAAUUCUGGAAACAUGAUUGCAGAACACAGUCCUAAUUAGCAGGAAAUAUUAAUUAGUUUAAAUGAGUUUUGCCACUAUUAUGCAGUUGCACCAUUAUUGUGCAUGUAACACCUGUAGUUACUGCUGGUAACAGCAAAUGAAUUUAAUAUAACAGGUCACAGAAUUCUUGGGACAAAAUAAACUAUUGUAUUAAUAUUAAAAGGCAAUCAAUAAUUGGCCUUUUUCCAUCAUUCUGUGACCAACUGUGAUCUGAUUUUAUACUGCACACGCCCUUUAUCAGCAGCUCAUUGUGGCUGCUCCUGACUGUUCCAUCAUUACUUGACAUAUUUCAAACUGAUAAACUGUCAACAAAUGGCCAAAAUGACUGUCGUCUCAUUUUGUAGACACAUUUUUUGAUUAACACUGGCAGUAAACCUCAGUUCACUGACAAACACAUUACACCUUCUGGUACUACUUCAAAAUAAAAGUCAGCUUGUGUUUCACUUGGUAAAUGCUUUUAAUCUGAAGCUGCAGCAAUAGGAAAUGUUCAGUUUGUAUUACAAUACUGCAAAUGCAUCAAACUGUUAUAAUUUUAUCUAUGGACCAGUUGUGAUCCACGGGCUGCCAGUUGAUGAUCACCGAAAUGUGGCCAUGUGAGCAAUGAUUAAGAAGGUCUUGGCAUCCAGUCCCGAUCAUCAAACCAGUUCCACAUUGGGCCUGAGAAAGAAAAUACACCUUUUGGAUAGUAAGGACUUCAUAAUUAAAAAACGUCUGAAACUACUAUUUGCCACUGUAUGUUAAAGGCCCCCUCCCUGUCCUUCUGUUUAUCACACCUUCCAGUCUUGAUUAUGUCACCUUACACUGGAAAGCUGAUCAAGGCCAAUGUUGAUUAUGUCACACCUUACAAUGGCAAGUUGAUCAAGUCUGGGAGCCUUUCUUUUCCCCUGCUGAGUCAACAAAAGGUCUUGUCUGUGUCACUGUAAGAUCUGUGAAUGUAAAUAUCCAUUCCUUCUGUGAUCCCAUCUUGUACCAUUGUUAACCUCACUUUUACAAACUGUUUGAUCCCUGCCCUGUACUCACAGUAAUACUGUUUACCUUUACAUAUUGUUUGAUCCCUGCCCUGUACCACAGUAUAACUGGCCCCCUGUCCUUCACUCUUGGUCAGUUUGCUGUCUCAGACCCACUCUGUGUGACAACAGAUGUAUUCUGGAAAAUCACCACCACUACAGCAAACUUUGAAUUAAGGACUUGAGAGUUUUCUUCAACAAAUGGUGCUGUGACCCAGAUGGCAACAUACUUCCAUGGAGACUCCUUCUAGACCAAAGACACACUAUUGACCUGAGAAUCGAAAGAGGUAAGAAGUCCUUUCAAAAACCCAAAUAUUGUUGCUGUGUGGUGUUGGAGGUCUGUGAAGUUGGAAUCCCAAAGAAGUUGACGCCAUCCUCAAUUUCAUGUAAGUUUGCUGUGUGGUCCUGAAGGGGGGUUAUUGUUUAGGUCUUCUCUGUGCAUGUUAUUUUGUGUAUGAUUGUGAGAUUGUUUGCCUCUUCCUUGCCUUAGAAUCAACAUACUCUCCUAAUGGUUUGACAUCUCAGGGUAACAUAGGGAAAGAGAAAUUGGAACAUGGAACAGGAAAGACAAGGUAGUUGAAUCCUGUAAUUUGAUUAGGAGAGACCAGGUAUAUAUAAGUCCUGUGAUUCUAAUUAAAAAGACCAGGUAUAUAUGAAUCCUGUGAUCCUUUACAGACCAGUCGACAGUGUCUGGAACACUGUAUUAAAUUCAAUAAUAAUAAUAAUAAUAAAAUAAAACUAAUAAAAAAUGAGGAACUGGUAAUAAAUAGGCCUAUACAGGAUUGGUAGGGAAAGAAGUAGGAAUGACUCAUUCCUCCAAGUAUUUAGAAAUAUAUUUCAUUUGUUUAACUUGAUCUGUAUCUUCUGAGUAGAAUGUUGACCAAAGGGGUUGGAAAAUGAGUGAUGGACUAAGUGUGAAGGGAGGGAUUCUACAGAGAGAUCGUGAGAAGUGGUUUAGUAGAGGGGCACAGAAUGAGUUGACCAAUCCUGUAAAAUACAUAUAUGAUAACUGGUACCAAGAAAAAUGUUGAAACCAAAAAAAAUUGGAAAUGUAGUCUAAAAUAAAAAUGAAAAAAAAGGAGAGAGAAAUUUUUCUGGAAAGUAAAUGUUGAGAUAACAUUUAUAAUAAAAGAAUGAAAAAAACACAACACAGAAAAAUUUUAACUACCUUAUGAAUACAACACAUAAAAAGUCUUCUGGAAGCACCAAAACCAAUAGUGAUGACCAAGAGUGAUCACAUCAGGAAAUGUUAGGCUUUUAAUUUAAUACAGUGUUAAGCUUGGUCGAAAUUUGGUUGAAAUUUUUCACGUGGUUUGUUGAAAUUUGUCAUUUUAUGUGGUUUUGUAGAGGUUUGUCAGCUUGUGUGGUCUUGUGGAUGUCACUGUGUGAAUUUGUAGAUGAUGGUCACUUCAUGUAUGUCUUUGUUUUUGUUGAGAAAUGUGACUUUUAUGUUCUUUUUGUCUCUUAAAACUUUGGAGAGUUGGUGAGACAAAGAAUGAUAUGGUGAUCUGAGUAAAAUUGGAAAUUGGAUCAAGAAGAUAACAGUUUUCUAAGUAUCUCACUAUACAGGCAAAGCAAAAGGAAAAGUGGCAGAGAAGCUCAGUGAGACUUCACACCUUGGAUAAAGGCAAUCCCUUUCAUUGUGUACCCCUUGGCUGGCAGCGCACUAACAGUUCAGAAGAGGGCUUUCCUGCGGCUGAAAAGGUCUGACAUGACCAUUUUUGCCCAGGAGCUGGCUGUCCUAGUGUUCACAAAGGAGGACCACCCUGACUUGAAAGUCUGUGAAAUGUGGACCCCCAAAAAGACAGCCAGAUGUUGCCAAAGUGCAGGCCAUAUUGGAUGCUGUUCUCCAGGAAUUUCCAGACAAUUGCCUCUGUUGUGCAAGCAGCCCUAAGAUGCAAAUGUAAUAAUGAGCAGUUCAGCAAAGAACAUAAUGUGUAGUGUGUGUUUGUGCUUAUAGGAAGGGGGGGUUGCGAUAAUGUUGAUGGUUGAAAUGUUGAUGAAACAAGUUCGUGUUCACAUUUUGCCAGUCAAAGGUACCACAAACAGUGUGUUAGGCAGUUAAAAGGGGGCAGGCUUACUUCUUUACAUAAUUUUAUUUUUGACCUUAUAUUUUGUGGUAAUCGUAGUUUCCAGAAUUAACAGAAUAUAAAAGUCCUUUGUACUUGGACAUAUGGUCUUGGUUUAUUUUUCUAAAACUGAACCACUGUCACAGCCCUGGAUGUGACCUCCUGUGUCCUAGUGUUUCCUGUAUGUGUUUUUGUUUGUUCCCCCACUCUCCUCUUGUGUCUUCUCCCCUGUAUGUGUGUAAGUAUGUGUCUGUCAGUGCUUUGUUGCAGAGGAGGGACACAGCUGGAGAAGACUGGCACACCUGCUGCUCAUUUGGCUCAUCUCUGCUCAGUUCAUCUACCCGGCUCUCCUUCCACUCAAUGACAGAGUUCCGCUUAUUCAUGUGGUAACUUUGUGUGUUACCUUAGAGUUACUCCUUAGUGAGACCUUAGACUCAUCUGUGUUUACUUGUGUGCAGAUCGCCUGCUCCUCCAACCGUGUCCACCUCUGCCUUGUGUCACCUACUUCAUGUUGGGAUCCCCUGCCUGCGAACUCUCCUUCCCCUGGACCUCCAGCCCAGCACCAUCUCCACUCACCCUCAUCCUUUUCCUAUCCCUCUCUUCAAGCACAGUUAAAGACUCUUGUUAAAAUCUGCCUGUGGUGUGUGCGUGCACUCUGUGUCUGCUCUGGGGUCGUGUAAACUGAAAUGUUACAACCAUGUUAAUAAAACAUCUUAUGUCUUCA